GACGAACGCUGGCGGCGUGCUUAACACAUGCAAGUCGAACGGAAAGGCCCUGCUUGCGGGGUACUCGCGUGGCGAACGGGGGUGUAAAACGUGGGUGUUCUGCCCUGCACUUCGGGGUAAGCCUGGGGAACAGGGUCGAAUACAGGGUAGGAGCGAUCCUUAGUGAGAUGGGGGGAAAGUUUUUUCGGGGUAGGGUGGGCUGGCGGGCUGUCUGGUUGCUGGUGGGGGAAUGGGCUACCAAGGCGGUCAUGGGUAGCCGGCCCGGGAGGGUGGACGGCCACCAUGGGACCGGGAUACGGCCCAGAAUCCCACGGGGGGCAGGAGGGGGGAAUAAUGGACCAUGGGGGGAAGCCCGAUGGCGGGACGCCGCGGGGGGGAUGACGGCCUUUGGGUUGGAAACCCCUUUCGCUAGGGACGAAGCUGUUUGUGACGGUACCUAGAGAAGAAGCACCGGCUAACUACGUG
rnacentral:rRNA from 1 species